UACGUAGGGGGCAAGCGUUGUUCGGAAUUACUGGGCGUAAAGGGCGCGUAGGCGGCACAGCAAGUCGGGAGUGAAAAGCCCGGGGCUCAACCCCCGGAAACGGCUUUCGAAACUGCUGAGCUAGAGUACAGAAGGGGCAACCGGAAUUCCCAGUGUAGCGGUGAAAUGCGUAGAUAUUGGGAAGAACACCUGAGGCGAAGGCGGGUUGCUGGGCUGAUACUGACGCUGAGGAGCGAAAGCGUGGGGGAGCGAACAGG
rnacentral:rRNA from 1 species